CUGGCAAAACAGCAGCAAGGAUUUGGACUAAACAGACCUUGCCUGUGGAUUUAUAGGGUCCUUGGGCUAGAACCCAAUGUAGAGGGAGGGCCAAUGUUCCCCUAUGAGUCACUGGAGAAGGUGGCAUGAGGCUCCUGAGGAGGGGAUAAGAACCAAUGGAGAGCCCUGAGAAGAGUGAGAGAACUAUACGGCCUGGAUGGGCCAAAGACCUUGUGGUGAGGACAUAUGGAUUAUGUAUUUGUUAGACUCUGUACCCCAGGGGGUGGACUAAAUUGUGACAUGGCUGAGAUAUGAGAAGAGACCACCGUAGCACUGGAGCUACCAUCAGCAGACAGAGAGAGCUACUACACCAUGGCCAGACACAAGAAGCUUCUCUAUCAUAAGCACUUGCCCAGCUUUUUCUCCAGGCAUUUUCUUCAGAGAAUUUCCUAAUAUGUUCUUCAAUUUCUAAUGAGCUGACUAUGAUCUUUCCUUGCACAGAAUGAUCUGGAUCCCUGUCCAAAAGGAACUAAAUUGAGACCAAACUCGUAUCACACAAGAGCUACAAACCGAGGAGAGCUACUUUCAAUCCCCAUCAACACAAGACACAGUCAAAUUCUGCCAGAACCUUGAUCAAACCUUCCCAUAAAUAGUACCAUCCCCAAUGGUCUGCUCAUCCCAAACCCUGUUGAUUCCUGACAGCUCUGGGAUAGUCUUGGCUUUCCUGCCUGCCAGCUCCAAAGAAAGGAAGAACUACUUUCCCCCGAGAGGCACUUCAGUGGCAUGGCAACUAAUGAAACCUUCCUCCUUCAGUCAUAGAAAAAGGGAAAUAGAUCUGCCGCUUGACUGGGGAAUAGGGGUCAGGCUCGCCUGACAGAAAUCUGUGUUGGCAUCAAAAGGGGGAUUUGCUUCAAAAGUUCAGAAGAAUUUUCUCAAGAAAGCUGAUGACUUUAUAACAUGGGAGCCCCAGGCAGCUGCCUUGUUACCCCUGUGUCUAAUGUCAGACUCUCCUGUUUCUCUACUUAGUGAACACAAUGCAUGUGUGUUUAGUUUCCAUGUCACCUGCCAUUUACCCACCUCCUAGUCUAGAACCCAGAAACGUCUUUUUGCUUCCAAAGAACUCCUUUGUACCAAGAAUUUUCACACUAGUCUGGGCCACAGGACUCCCACGUCUGUGGAAUUUCACACGCUGCCAUCUAUUCCUGAUUUGUGUGUCGCUACAAGUGCUCCUGUUUUUACAGUCAAAACCAAAUGUGCAUCUAAGAUGUAUCUAUGAUUUAAGAAUACUAAUGCACACAAUCCUUUGAUGUUUUGCACAGUUACCAGUAUCUUCUGAUGUGCUACUGUGUCUUUCAGCCUUUAUUUACAACAUAUGAGAUUAAGCUAUUCUGAUUUUUAACUAGGGGCUUUGUUCACUAAUAUUGCUAAGUUUGAGGGUAAUUAUAUAUGACACAAGGUGAUGUCCGAUUGCAUUAGCUUCACCGCACUCUACACUAUCAACAAAAAGGAGUUUCUUUGUUCAUUUUAAUGGCAACCCUUUGUUUUUAUGGCAAUUCUUAUGUAAUGUCAAGGUUUAUCAAUCAGCUUGAAAACACUGGGCCAGAUUUGCACCUGGUGUAACUCAUCUAGUUUCAGUGGUGUCACAUCAGUAAGGAA